rnacentral:lncRNA from 1 species
UGUAAGUUUUUUAUAUAAGAGAACUUGUAUCAAAGAAAUUCUUCUACCUCCAAUUUAAGGAUUGACUCUUAAAUACCACAAUGACAUGGUUGUUCUUCCAGCUAGGGUGUAUUUAGUAAACUUUUAACGCAUCAAUUCUCGUGGAAAAAAUUAUUCAAAGGGGAGGAUAUAAUAGGGGCAUCAGAACCAUGGUUGGACCAUACCCACACCAGUCACAUAGGAGCUAGUUGCAACAGAGGUUCACUCCAAGAGCAUAUCUAACCAACCAGGAGGACGUCAUCCAUGAAAUGACUUCUUCUAGAUACUCAACUCAUAAGACCAUCAUGUCAAAAUUGAAUCAACAGAAAAACUUCACAGACCAAAGAGAUAUGGAUUUUACAAGUCAGGUUCUUCACAAAACCUGAUGGGACAUAUCUUGCAUUUUCAAGUCUAUGCCAGUCUAACCAAGAGUGUACUCCGAUCAAAGCCACU